UACGUAGGGUGCAAGCGUUGUCCGGAAUCAUUGGGCGUAAAGCGCGUGUAGGCGGCCCGGUAAGUCCGCUGUGAAAGUCCAGGGCUCAACCCUGGAAUGCCGGUGGAUACUGUCGGGCUCGAGUCCGGAAGAGGCGAGUGGAAUUCCUGGUGUAGCGGUGAAAUGCGCAGAUAUCAGGAGGAACACCGAUGGCGAAGGCGGCAUCCUGGACUGGUCCUGACACUCAUGAGCGAAAGCGUGGGGAGCGAUCCGG
rnacentral:rRNA from 1 species